rnacentral:rRNA from 1 species
CUGGCAGUAAACGGUGCACGCUUGGUGUGAGGGGAAUCGACCCCCCUUGUGCCGGAGCUAACGCGUUAAGCGUGCCGCCUGGGAAGUACGGUCGCAAGACUAAAACUCAAAGAAAUUGACGGGGACCCGCACAAGCGGUGGAGUAUGUGGCUUAAUUCGAUGCAACGCGAAGAACCUUACCUAGGCUUGACAUGCAUUUCUAAGCGCGUGAAAGCGCGUGACCCUUCGGGGGACUUGCACAGGUGC